rnacentral:rRNA from 1 species
AUUGAACGCUGGCGGAAUGCUUUACACAUGCAAGUCGAACGGCAGCACGGGGCAACCUGGUGGCGAGUGGCGAACGGGUGAGUAAUACAUCGGAACGUGCCCAGUCGUGGGGGAUAACGUAGCGAAAGUUACGCUAAUACCGCAUACGAUCUAUGGAUGAAAGCGGGGGAUCGCAAGACCUCGCGCGAUUGGAGCGGCCGAUGUCAGAUUAGGUAGUUGGUGGGGUAAAGGCCUACCAAGCCGACGAUCUGUAGCUGGUCUGAGAGGACGGACCAGCCACACUGGGACUGAGACACGGCCCAGACUCCUA